UACAGAGGGUGCGAGCGUUAAUCGGAAUUACUGGGCGUAAAGGGCGCGUAGGUGGAUAUUUAAGUGAGAGGUGAAAUCCCCGGGCUUAACCUGGGAACUGCCUCUUAUACUGGGUAUCUGGAGUGUGGUAGAGGGUAGUGGAAUUUCCGGUGUAGCAGUGAAAUGCGUAGAGAUCAGGAGGAACAUCCGUGGCGAAGGCGGCUACCUGGACCAACAUUGACACUGAGGCACGAAAAGCGUGGGGGAGCAAACAGG
rnacentral:rRNA from 1 species